CUUGCACAGCGCCACCUGCUGUUUCUUCAGCACUAACAAAGAGUCCAGCUUCAGACAGACUGUGUUCUGGAUUUCAGGUUCUAGUCCUACCACUCCAUGAUCCCCAGCCGCUCCACCUCUGCUGUCAGCUGUUGGUUCCCUUGGCAACAACUGCUCCCAGCUGGACAGAACCCAGACAGAACCGCGUUCGGGUCGGCCCAGAUUCAGCUGACUUCAUGCAGAAAUAACCUGAUUAUGAGCUCCGUUCCAGCAGACUGGCCCUCAGAUUCCUGAUCCUGUAAGCAGCAGAAACUGACGGAUCAUUAAUCAGAUUCCUGCUCUGAGCCGAGAUCCACCUGCAGAGCCAAA